rnacentral:tRNA from 1 species
UCCAUGGUGGUCUAGUGGUUAAGACUGCACUCCCAAUGCAGGGGGUCCAGGUUCCAUCCCUGGUCAGGGAA